rnacentral:lncRNA from 1 species
AAAAAGAAAAAGCUCAAAGCCAGCCUAGACAACUUAGCAAGACUAUCUCAAAAUUUUAAAACUUCAAAAAGGGUGAGGGAUAUAGCUCAGAGGUAGACUACUUGUCUAGAAUGUGAUAGACUUGGGUUUCAGUCCCCAAUACUUCCCCCCCAAAAAAUCAUAAUUAGAAAAUUCAGAUGAUGGGGGCUGGGGAUAUAGCUUAGUUGGUAAAGUGCUUGCCUCACAUGCACAAGGCACUGGGUUUAAUCCCCAAUGCUACCCGAGAGAGAGAGAGACAGACAGACAGACUGACUGACUUAGGAAAUUCAGAAGGACUGGAUAUAGGGUAAGAGCUAGGCACAGUGGCACAUGUCUAUAAUUCUAGCAACUCAGGAGGCUGAGGCAGGAGGAUCACAGGUUUGAGGCCAGCCUCAGAAAUUUAGGGAGACCCUGCCUCAUAAUAUAAAAGCAGCUAGCCAGGCCUGUAAUUCAC